GCUUUUAUUUUGGUACAAUAUAUCUUUUAUCUCUCUUGCCGCUAUAUCCUCUUCUGAUAAACUGAUUCAUCAUUAUCAUCUACAAUGGAGAUAAAACAUAAAUGGCUUCAUCACAAUUCCAAAGGCUUAUUGCAGUUUUUUUUAUGGGUUAAGCAGAGAAAACACAACUUACCAGAGCACUCGAGGGCUUCAAGAUGAUAGUGAAGGGGUUUCUCAAUUUAUGUUUUGAUUGAGGAUUGUUGUUGGAAUCAAGUGCAAAGACGGGAUUGUAAUGGUAUCUUUCGGAGUUACUUGCGGAGCGUCAUAAGCGUUGUGGUUUUUGUUGUUUAUAAUCUAUAUUCAUUCCUUGCUUCAGAACUUUUAAGCUCUUAUAUAGCUGACGAACACUUAAAUUGCUGCUAAGAGAUACAUCUAUAAUAAGUAAUAGCUAGUAGUUAGAGGUAAUAUAAAAGGUGGGUUAUUGUCUAAUUUUACAACCCACAUAGAGAUUAAUGUUAGAGUACUAGAACACGAAAUUACUAAUUCUGUAUUCUUAUAGUGACUUAUGUCAUUCUAUUUAACUAUAGAGUAAGAGCAAAAAAACUAUUCUUUACCAACUCAAUUAACUAUGUUGUCUUUCCAUUCAUUGGUGUCCUGCUGACUACAUGUGUUCACUAAUUCUAACUGGUGCGUCUUACUCUUGGAAAAUUGACAGAUUUGGAACAGAAAUUUUGUGGUGCACCACAUUGUUGGAGAAUACCACUGUUUUUAGUCAGAGUGAGCUUGACCACCAUAGCCCUCUGGCUUUUGGAGGGAUAUUUCAAAAUGAAGAGCGGACCUGAACGGAUGGGCGUCACAGUCUCUGUCAUAAGCUAACAAUUAACAUAACUCUUUUUGUCUAAUACAAUACU